CCUACGGGCGGCAGCAGUGGGGAAUAUUGCACAAUGGGCGCAAGCCUGAUGCAGCCAUGCCGCGUGUGUGAAGAAGGCCUUCGGGUUGUAAAGCACUUUCAGCGGGGAGGAAGGCGGUGAGGUUAAUAACCUCAUCGAUUGACGUUACCCGCAGAAGAAGCACCGGCUAACUCCGUGCCAGCAGCCGCGGUAAUACGGAGGGUGCAAGCGUUAAUCGGAAUUACUGGGCGUAAAGCGCACGCAGGCGGUCUGUCAAGUCGGAUGUGAAAUCCCCGGGCUCAACCUGGGAACUGCAUUCGAAACUGGCAGGCUAGAGUCUUGUAGAGGGGGGUAGAAUUCCAGGUGUAGCGGUGAAAUGCGCAGAGAUCUGGAGGAAUGCCGGUGGCGACGGCGGCCCCCUGGACAAAGACUGACGCUCAGGUGCGAAAGCGUGGGGAGCAAACAGGAUUAGAUACCCGGGUAGUC
rnacentral:rRNA from 1 species